rnacentral:sRNA from 1 species
GCGGAAUCAGAGCGAUCGGGGACGCGAGGAAACAAGCUAUAUUGAAGACAACUCCAGUCAAAAUGGUGCCAUAUCACUGAUCUUCUCCCUCAAAGAAGAAGUUGGUGCAUUGGCCAAAGUGUUGCGCUUAUUUGAGGAGAAUGAUAUAAACCUGACCCACAUUGAAUCUAGACCUUCUCGUUUAAAGAA